GACGAACGCUGGCGGCGUGCUUAACACAUGCAAGUCGAGCGGUAAGGCCCUUUCGGGGGUACGACGAGCGGCGAACGGGUGAGUAACACGUGGGUGGACCUGCCCUCAGCUCUGGGAGUAAAGCCCGGGAAACUGGGUCUAAUACUGGAUAUGACUCCAUGACGCAUGUUGUGGGGUGGAAAGCCUUGUGCGGCUGGGGAUGGGCCCGCGGCCUAUCAGCUUGUUGGUGGGGGGA
rnacentral:rRNA from 1 species